CUCGCAUGAAGAAUCACACUUUCAAAAUCGUAAAUACGUCCCUCUAUGAUAAUGGGCAACUUUCGAGCUCAAAUGCUACCUCAAUCUACUCAGCAGGAAUAUAGGGAUUUUAGAAAUAAACUGAAGAAUUUACCAAGAUUUUAAUGGAAACUUACAAAGAUUUUGAUGAGAAAACGAGUAAUCCGAGCUUAUAAACACCCCAUAAUCUCCUAAUAAUCACUCUCCC
rnacentral:lncRNA from 1 species